AAUCGAAUUCGAAUCGAAUACGAAUUCGAGGGAAAAUAAAAAUUAUUCGAAAAAUUCGAUUCGAAUAAUUCGAAAAUUCGAUAUUCGAUUCGAUGAACACCCCUAAUUGAGAUAGUUGCCUCUUGAUUUGCUUGGAAAGUGUGAAGUUCGGAAUAAUAAUAAGCUUCACGUAUUCAUAGGGAUGUAAUGAGCCAGGAUUCGUUCAUGCCUGUUCGUGGAUCAAAACCGAUAUUGGCGAUGACAAUGACGAAGCUAAGCGCAGCAGCCACGGAAUUGAGUGCGGCGAAUGGACGGAAUGGUAACAACGGCAAAGGUGGGGCGCAGUGAUGACGGACUGUAUUGAUCAGAAAAUAGCGGUGGCACCGGACUCGUGUGCGACAACGAAGUUUGAGCGGAACAGAGGACAAUAAGGAUAGAUCGCAAGGUGUUUUUAAAGGCUGAUGCUUGGAUUUCGCGUUACGAACUUCUUCCCCUGAUCGUAGAAGGAGAUGUCGAUAUAUCUGAUCGGAAUUACUCUUCCGAUAGAGAUGAGAAAGAAAGGUGUACGGCAACUGAGGAGGAGAAGAUUUGAAAUCAGAACUAAACAUACUUUUAUUUCUUAUAUUUUAUUGUUAUAUGACAAUUUUGAAUACAACUAGUCUUAAUACUCAAAUGUAUUAUAAAAUUGAAACUAU
rnacentral:lncRNA from 1 species